GUCAACUGUACCUCACAAAACAGUUUUCUAAAAAUUGAUGUUACCAGGUGUGGUGGCACACACCUGUAAUUCUAAUGGCUUGGGAGGCUGAGGCAGGAGGAUCACAAGUUCAAAGCCAGCCUCAGCAAUUUAGGGAGACCCUAAGCAUGUAGUAAGACUCUAAAAUAAAUAAAAAGGACUGGAGAUGUGGUUAAUGACCUCUGGUACCAAAGUGUCUCUCAAUUCCUGGUACAAUAAAAAUUAAAAAUUGAUGCUUAGGAGCCCAUUGUGAUGGUACAUCCCUGUAAUCCCAGGGACUUUGGAGGCUAAGGUAGGAGGAUCAUAAGUUCAAAGCCAGCUUCAGCAAUUUAGGGAGGCCCUAAGCAACUUAAGACCCUGUCUCAAAAUAAAAUGGACUGAGCUGGGGUUGUGGCUCAGUGGUAGAGCACUUGCCUAGCAUGUGUGAGGCACUGGGUUUGGUUCUCAGCACUGUAUAUAAACAAAAUAAAGGUUCAUUUGAUACCACUGGUUAUUGGUGAGAGUGAGGAGUCCUGCUUCCCCACAUGUUGAAGUUUGAACAUUAAAGAAGCACACCUAGGAAAGCAUAUGAAGCAGGGUUUAUUUAAAAAGGGGUAACAUAGACUUCUCCUGCAAGGGAGAAGGGGCCAUAGCUGGUAUCCCAAGAAACGAGGUGUUCUGCCCUUUUUAUAUAUCCUAGGAUUCCUUUGUUCUCCUGCCUUUUUCCCUUUUAUCUUUCUCCUUCUUGUGGAGGUGGUGACUAGGCCCAGGAGUGCUGGGUGGGAUGGCCAAAAGGUGGGAACCAGGUGGGCUGAAGGGGGAAGGGCAGGUGGAGUAGACAAGGACACUUUAACAACCCUAGAGUUCCCUGGAGGGAGGGGCAAUUCCUGGGACAGGUUACCCUGGCAACAGGUUGGAGCAGGGGCAGGUUCUACAUAAGAUCCCUCAGGGGACAGUGUCCAACUUCUCAGAGUAACUUAAAAUUGUCCUCCUAGUUCUUUUGACUCAAUUUAUCUAUCUACACUGACUAUCUAUCUUUAAAUCUGGCUUCACAUUGACAACUAAAAAGUAUUUUAAGUAAGUAAAUAAAUAAAUAAAAUUUAAAAAUAAAAAGUGUUGGGUAGAGGGAUUCCUUCAGUACUUGCUACCUCAGAAAAGAGGCAAUGUUUUGAGGAAAGACGGUUGUUUAGGUUUUUGAUCUAGUGAGUGGAGAGGAGAAGUCAGGUUGUUCAGGUGGGGGAGACAGUGGAGGGGCUGGGGCAGAAGGUUGAGGGUGAGGACCUAUUUGAGCCGGGCGAUAGGGUGGAAAUUCAUCAGGAGGGUCAAAAGUAGUGGAUGAGUCCGGAGGAAGAGGAGAUUGGGGAUCAGUGGUUGUGGGUGUUGGUUUGCAAGCUAGAAGAAUUUGCAGAGGUGCAGAGAGCACAAGCAAGAAGAAAGCUUUGAUAUAGCAGCUUUUUACCCAUUUUUUCGAAUGCUCACAGUAAUUGUAGAGAUCCCUUAGAAUGGAGGGAUCCAGGGACCCAAAAGGGGGGCCAUCUGCUUUGGUUGUCUAAGGGAUAAGUGGGCCAGGCCUGGGUGCUAUAUUUGAUCAAUUUUGGGGGUUUGAUGUCUGGUGUCAAGGAGAGGGUUUUGAGGUUAUCCAAGAGGCAUUGUAGGGGAGAGUCGACCGGCAGAGAGGACACAUUACCCGUGUCGCAAAGUAGUAUAAGGAGGAGGGAAGGGGAUGCAAACUUGGUAUAGAGGAGAAGGAAGGAGACGCAACCGUAGUAUAAGAGAGAAGGAGGAAACUGAUUUAUUGGCAAAAGGGGCGUCCCCGCUAGAGCCAAAAAUCAGGAGUGUCUUAGUGGCAGGUUCGAGCUGCAGAGAUUGGUCAUCACCGAAUCCUGACAGUCGAAGCUCUCGUCCUGGAUGGAGCUGGAGCCGUGGGAGACCUUGCCCAAGGCUUUUCUUUUUGGGACCCCUCCUGGAGAGGCCAGAGACUUGCAGGGCCGGAAAGAGGGGAAAGAGAGAGACAGGGAAAGAGAGAGGAAGGGGAGGGUAAGGUACUCUCUAGCAGCCGAGUCUUGAAGGUGUGAGGACUAGGAUUUUAGGAGAGCCACAGAGAUGGUGAAGGUCUGGGUGGACUGUGAUGUUCAGUUCUCUGUUAUGUGUCCCUGGAGGUUACACAGUCCUUCGAGGGAGACCUACAAAGCCUAUGCUGGUAACUAACAGCUGGGAAGGGAAGGGAAUAAUUUUGAACCCAGGAGUCUAUUCUGCCCUAGGAAGGAGUCCCUGAGGGCCACCGUAGCCUUAAAGGCUGUGGUGGGGUGUUUUCCUCCCCGCAGGUGGGCAAAGAGGUUUGCCAGACAAUCAAGGCCAAAUCCUCCUGACACCACCAUUGGGUUUAGGACUCCAGGAAGGGGAAACUCACCAAUUGAAGGUCGGUGGUGGAUGGAGUUCUAGCAGUCGAGAAAAUGGGUUCAGGCCUGGGUUCAGGUCAUCCGGUCAGUGGCACUUCCGAAGGAAGAGGGACCCAAAAGUGGGUUUUUUUUUUUUUAAAUAUCUUUACUUAUUUAUUUAUUUUUAACAUGGUGCUGAGGAUAGAACCCAGUGCCUCAUGCAUGCUAGGCAAGCGCUCUGCCACUGAGCCACAUCUCCAGGCCCCCCAAAAGUGGGUUUUAACCCUCUCCCAGGUUUCGGCACCAAUGAAAGGAAAGUGACCACAACACUCGGAGCAACCAAAAGAUCUUUAUUGCAGCAGUGCAACAAAGAGAAAGGAAAGAAGGAAAGAGAGAGAAAAGAGAAGAGAUGAACAGGGAGAGAGCAAGAGCAAGAGAGAGAGAGCGCGCGUAAGAAAGAUAAAGAGCAAGAGAGAAAGAGCAAGAGAGAGAGGGAGAGAGAGGAGGGCCUGGUAGGAGGGAGUUUUUAUAGCCCAAAUCUAAUGGGGCCUCUGGGUCUGCAGGGGGGGUUAAGUGUUCAGCCUUAAGCAGGGUUGAAUGUUCAGACUUGAGGAAAACAGGUGAUAAAGGACCAGAUAGAGGGGGGUUUGAGUGCGUGGGCUAUCUUGCAGCCAACAUCUGUUCAGCCUGCCCAGCAGACAACAGAAUUCAGCCUGCUCUGCACCCAACAAAAAGGACUGGGAGGGCUGGGGAUAUAGCUCAGUUGUAGAGUGUCUGCCUUUCAUGCACAAGGCCCUGGGUUCAAUCCCCAGCACCACAGAUAAACAAAUAAAUAGGACUGGGGAUGUGGCUCAGUGGUAAAGUGCCCCUGGGUUCAAUCUCCAGUACUGAAAACGAGGGGGAAAAAAAAUUCAGGGGACUGGGGAUAUAGCUCAGUUGGUAGAGUGCUUGCUUCACAUGCACAAGGCCAUGGGUUCAAUCCCCAGCACCACAUACACACACACGAAAAAAAAAAAAAAAGAAAAAAAUUCAGGUUGAGACCUGGGAAUGUAGAUCACCGGUAGAGAUUUGCCUAGCAUGCACUAGUCCUUGAGUUCCACCUCUGGCACUGUAAGAAAAAAAAAAAGUUGAUGUUUAUCAAAAGCUUUGGAGAAAUGUUUAGAAUCAAGUUGUAAUUACCACAUAUAGGAAGAGCAGUGAUUCAUGGCUUAUACUUCAGAAAGAAGUGUGCCUCCCAUGUGCAAGGCCCUGAUUUCAAAAGGAACCAUGGGGGUGUGGGGGAAACAAGGUCUGGAGUCAACUUGUGACUAUGCAGCUUUGAACAAACUGCUCAGCCUGUCUGUGCUGAUGGCAGGCAUGUGGAGAGAGGUCAUAAGCUCAUCCCAGGGAAGCCCUCAGUACCUGGCAUGCAGGGGGUACUCAGAGGUUAGAGGCACUGAGGUUCUCCUAACAGAAUGGGAGAAGGUGACCUAUACCUGAAGUAAACUGCUGGCAACCACUAAACUGUUCCAGAAUACUGCCAUUUACCCUUGACCCUUCCAAACCUUCUGAGUCAUCCUUGGCUCACCCCUCACCCUCACCCCCCAUAGUCUGAUGGCUGCCAAGACAAGUAGAAUUUUCCUUGGAAAUGCUCUUUCUCUUCAUGCUCAGGGGUCCACCUGCCAUCUUAGGCCCUGAGGCCCUGUACUGUGGCAAUCUUCUGCUGAUUCUUGCUGAACUGAGUCUGUUCCACAUUCCUUUCUCAACUGCCCAUCUCCUGUUGUAGAAAGUCCCAGACUUCUGGUGAAGCCAGAAUUAGAAAGGCAGUCAGUAUAGACAGGUAAAUUGAGUCAGGUCAGAUCAAGGAGGCCAAUUGUGAGUGAGUCCCAGAAGUUGGAGACAGUCCCCAGAGGGACUGAAAUGUUAAUUCCCUCAGAGCCCUUCCUCCACCCUCAUCAAGAACCUGCCCCUGCUCCCACCUGUUGCCAAGGUAACCUGUCCCAGGCAUUGCCCCUCUCUACAGGGAGCUCUAAGGUUGUUCACGUGUCCUGGGCUGCACGGCACAUCCUGCCCUUCCCCCUUCAGCCCACGGGUUUCCCCCCUUUGGCCCUCCCACCCAACAUUCCUGGGCCUAGUCGCUGGAGGGAGAAAGAGAAGGGGAAGAGGGCAGGAGAACCAAGGGAGCCUGGGACACAUAAAAAGGGCAGAAAACCUCGCUUCUUCGGAUACCAGCUAUGGCCCCUUCUCCUUUGCAGGAGUCUAUGUUACUCCUUUUUAAACAAACCCUGCUUUAUAAGCUGGCCUCCCUGUGCUUCUCUUAUGUUCAAACUUCCAACAGGUGGGAAACCAGAAUUCCUUACCCAUAACCGGCAGCAUCACUGGGACACACAACAGAGGUCCCUCUUCAGGUGGCAGACCACAGGGGGCUGCCACCCAGCUCAUUCCACCUCUCCCUUCUCUCUGCUGGGGUAUCUACCCACAUGCUCCUUGCCUGGGAACUCCCAUUGAAUGUCCUUGUUCAGUUUCAUGGUUUGCCCAGGCCAGGGGCUUGUGCCUGCUCUGCUGUCUGACUGAAGGCAGGCCCCAACACAGAUGGGCUUCCACCAGAAGCCAAGGGGUUGAGAGGGCCACAGGAGAAGGGUCCUGCCACCGCUCACAGGUCUCUUGCCCUCCCAGUUCCUGGGCUCUUUGACUCUACAAUAUUGCCCAGUUCCCUUCCGUUCCUAAGCAUCCCUUGUAAGUGUGUUCCUGCCCUCACUCCCAGCAUCCUGUUUACUGAAGCCCAUCCACCUGGAUGCUCCACAGAUUUGUUUACCCAACACUGGGGUCAUUAAACUGGUCACCUGCCUUCAUCAGCUUGAGCCCCAUGUUCCCAAUAACCACAGCUCCAGCCCACUCUGUGCCCAUCUCCACGCCUGACCUGGCUGCUUCAGACCUAGGAAGCCAUGCUGGCCCUGCCCUCCCUCCCGCGGAGAGGCCCAGGUGACCUGGCCAUUUAUGAGGAAUACAGGGGCGGCUGGAGCUCAGUGGUAGCAGCCUGCUUCGCAUGUCUGAUGCCGGGUUUCGUCCCCAGUCCCCGGCACAAAAAUAGUGUGUAAAAGAAAUGGGCAUGAGAGAGGAAGGACGGCGCAAGCCCGGCGGGGCCACACCCUGGGCUCUGACGGCCCGCACCCACCGCUCAGAGCAGCUCCUCGGCGCUCCCACCCCGGGGCGCGCGGAAAGGAGGUGCCCUCCUCCCGCCGGUCUGUGGACCCUCCCCUCCCUGCGCUCGCCCACGGCCGUCGCCGCCAGCGGAAGGAGCGCGCCCCGCCCGCCCGCCGCGGGAGGAACCCUUCCGCGCAGAGGCGCCGGGCGCCGCCUGCAGGUCCGUUAACUGGGGGUUUGUAGCCUCCGACUGCGAACUUCCUCCCCUUCCAACGGCAGGACUGGGCCGUCGGGGCGGCUGCCGUCUGAGAAUCCACCUCAAAUCUUCCAGCAUUCCCCUGGGUAGCUGUCUGCACUUGUAAGAGAA
rnacentral:lncRNA from 1 species